rnacentral:rRNA from 1 species
UACGUAGGAGACGAGCGUUGUCCGGAGUUACUGGGCGUAAAGGGUGCGCAGGCGGCCUGGCGCGUCGCGAGUGAAAUCUCCUGGCUCAACUGGGAGGGUGGUCGCGAGACGGCUGGGCUUGAGGCUCGGUGAGGGGCGUGGAAUUCCCAGUGUAGAGGUGAAAUUCGUAGAUAUUGGGAAGAACACCGGUGGCGAAGGCGGCGACCUGGUCCUUGACUGACGCUGAGGCGCGAAAGCGUGGGGAGCAAACAGG